rnacentral:lncRNA from 1 species
AGUUAUUAAUGACCGCUGAGCAGGCAGCACCAUGUCAGUGUGACAACUGAUCGGGUGAACGAUGCACCACUAACCACCAUGGAAACAAGGAAAAAUAAAGCCAGCUCACAGGAUCUCUCUUCACUGGAUUGAGAGCCUCAGCCUGCCGACUGAGAAAAAGAGUUCCAGGAAAAAGAAGGAAUCCCGGCUGCAGCCUCCUGCCUUCCUUUAUAUUUUAAAAUAGAGAGAUAAGAUUGCGUGCAUGUGUGCAUAUCUAUAGUAUAUAUUUUGUACACUUUGUUACACAGACACACAAAUGCACCUAUUUAUACCGGGCAAGAACACAACCAUGUGAUUAUCUCAACCAAGGAACUGAGGAAUCCAGCACGCAAGGACAUCGGAGGUGGGCUAGCACUGAAACUGCUUUUCAAGGCCUGAAGCUCCUGGGAUCUAAUUCCCUGAGGAACAAUGGAAGAGGCACUGUUUCCCAACUGGUACAAAACAGGACUUCAGGAACAGCAGAAUGUGUUCUCCAGGGAUUAAGCCCCCUAACGUGAAGCUUGGGACUCACAACACUUA